ACACAAGAUAAUUUCUACUUAAAGGGAAGAAGAAACUACAUAAUGUCAUUGUUUAAACUUCUGAUCAGUGUCAUUUGAGGCAUGCUUUUCUUCACUAAAAGAGUAUUUUGUUUAACUCGUAUGGGCACACAUCUGGUAUCUGAAUAUUCAAUAUUUAUGAGGUUAUUGGCUUAUGGUCUUGGAAUUGUAAAGAUUUCCAUUCCUCAAGAAUCAAAACCUUGAUCUUAUCAUUUUUUGUAAAGCUGUUUUACAUAGUUCCAGAUUAUAACUUAUGUCAGAUUUAUGCCUUUUCACUGUAUAGAGGACUGAUCUCUAAAGUGACAUCUACAGUGUAGCACUGAAGUAUGAGAAGAACAUGCUAGCAUCUGUAAAACCCUUUUAAAUCUUUUAUGUAUGUGUGUUGUAUACAUAAUAUAGAUUAGUAAAACAGUGUCUUUUUAAUGAAAAAUUCUGAGACCGCUGCUGUAGAGCGCUGCCUAAGCAUCGUAAUUCCUUUGAAAUCUAGUAAUUAGGUGAUUUAAUUAGUACAGAAUCAGAACAAAGUGAAUUAGAUUCAAAGGAACAGUUUAACCAAGCUUUGGAAAGACCUUACAUAUAUAAUCCCUAUUAGAUUGCUAAUUUUGUACCCUAAUAACUGGUAUACCUAUUAGAUGUACUGUACCCAUUUAUUGAACAAUAAUGAAUAUCUUAGUCAUUUUUUUGUUGCUUGAAGUACAAUGCCAUAAGGCUGGGUAACUUUUCGAGAAAAGAAGUUUAUUUUGGCUCACCAUUAUGAAGGUCCAAGUUGAUGAGGCCCCAUCUGUUGACAGCCCUUUCUUGCUGCUAGAGUACAGAGGAGAUGGAGAGUAUCAUAUGGAAAGAGUUGUGUGUAUAGAGUGUGUGUCUUUUGAUACCUCCUCCUUUUUAUAAAGCCACUGUUAAGUCAUGGGGCUAUGUCCUUAUAACCUUGUUUAAUUCUUACCACCUCGCAAAGUCCCCAACACUAAAUAUUAUAGUUGGAUUAAAGUUCUACCUUUUACAAUGGGGGUGAGUUUCAACAUAAGUUUGGGAAGGGGAAAAUCAUAAUCAGUAAUAGAGAUUAAUCUGCUUGCAUGAGUUUUGGAGGACACAAACCGUAAUAAAGUUUUUAUUCUAACUUUAUUUCAUAUAAAAAAUAUAAAAGUGUUCUAUAUUUUUCUUUUUAUAUUUAAUACUUAAAUUAUAUUUGUGCUAUGCUUUUAUUAAAUUAGGUAAGAUUUGAAUUUUCUGUUAGACAUGAUUAUUGAGAAUAUACCCUCAUCCCUUGUCCAAGGCUUUGAAAAUACUCUUAAUACUAGCAUAGUCAUCAACCAGAUACUAGUAUGGGUUACACUAAGGGUAGAAUUUCGUGAAGUUACUAGUUUCUUUUUCAGAGAGUGCUUUUUUUCUUUUUAGCUUGUCUACUUGUGGAAGCAUCUUACUCAGGUAUCCUUCAGUAGCCUCCUCAAAUGGAGGCUGAUUAUUCUUUUUUAUCGCAUAAUGAGAGAUGAGAAAUAGAGAAAGGUAAGAAAGAAAGAGGCAGUAAGAAGGACUGCCAAAAGAUAAGUAGUGAAGUACAACAUUCGUUUAAUGAUCACUAUUCUUCUAAAUCAGUAUUUCUUUUUUUGUCUUUUUCCUUUUUAUCAGUACUGGGGAUUGAACUCACGACUGCCUGCUUACAAGGCAGGCGCUUAUGCCGCUGAGCUAAACCUCCAGCCCCCUAAAUCAGUAUUUCUAAAUACUUCAUGUAAAAUUGGUCUUCUGCAUCCAAUAUUUUAUAGAACAUUCUACUCUCUGUCAUUCCUCUUUGUUUUCUUACCAAUUUAUUUGACUUCUUGCUUGCUCACUGAAAAUUUAGACUGCUGUCUCCCGAUCUAAAUCUGUGUUAAUUUUUUCUAUAACUCUUAAGUUGUUUUUGUUUUUGUUUUGAGACUAGGUCUUGCUAUGCAGUUCAUUGGCCUUAAAUUCUUUAGAUAGCCAAGGCUGGCCUCAAACUUGUGACAGUCCUCCUGCCUCAGCCCCCAUGUAUUGGAAUUACAGUGUAAGCCACCAUACCCAGCUAGGGAGAACCUAUUUAUGAUUCCAUUUUACUUUGGUCAGGCAUUCCCAUGGCCAUACUCAUCACCCAAAAUUACUCUCUUAACACUUUAAAUCCUAAUAAAAGAAUCUGUGACCAUAUAUGCCAGCUGUUAAACUUUUUUUCUCCCCUACUCCUUUAACAUGUGCUUUUCUGUCUUAUAGGACUCCUUAUAGGGAACUUCUGCAUUUUAUUCUAGUGGAUCAUGUCCCUCCCAGAACUACUUCCUAUCAGUCAUUUAAAACAUUUUGUCCUCUGUGCUUUUUAUCCCUUUACCUCAUUGCUUUGUGUUGCAUCUGCCUAGCAAAACUCAACCAUUCUAGCCUUUACUGUCUUCAUGCCUACUGCUAGGACUGCUUAGGACAACAGCAGAGUAUUUUAGAACCACUAUAAUUUUAUCACUGCACCCUCAACUAUGUCUUUAAAACUGCCAGUGGUUGGUUCCUAAUCUAUAUUCUUUCCGUGAUCCAGAGUGCAUUUAUAAGCCUUAUGCCAUUCUCAUAAUUUUUCUUCUCUUUUUUGGUAGUGCCGGUAUUAAAUCCAUGGCUUCAUUCAUGUAAGACAGAUGCUUUACCAUUACAUUAAGCUACCCCUCCCAACCUCUUUUCCCAAUUCUUAACACUACUGUCUUCUCCAUCAUGCUCAUUAUACCCCCUACUUUACAAAUAAAAAUAAAGGCCAUCAACUCUCAAAUUUAUAGAUAUUUUUCCUGUCCUUUUUUUUUUUUUUUUUUUUUUUUUGAGACAGGGUGUCAUUAAGUUGUCUAUGCUGACGUAAUCUUCCUGCCUCAUCCUCCUGAGUAGCUGGGGUUACAGGUGUGUCCACCACAUUGGGAUUUUCCUAUCUUUCUAGAAGUGAUAUUCCUAGUUUGUGGCAAAUGUGUACAACUACUGAAUGAAUCCUAGUUCUUGUAGACUUUGUUUCUGUAAUGAUUACAAUGAGAAUAAUUGAAUAAACAUUUGAAUUUCCUUUUUACUGGUUUGGCCUUCUUAGCAGAUCUCCCCUAAACUAUAAACAACCAAGCGCAUUUUAAAACUAUAUUAUCCUCCCGCCUUCUCCUAGGCAAAGGGAGCAUAUUAUACAAAGAUACAGCCUUGAAAAGGCAUAAAACACAUGCCUUUUAAAAUGGUUUUGAAACACUUAGAAGCCAGAGACAAAAUAAAAGUAUUACUUGAAGCCAUCCAAAUGGAUAGAUUUUCUACAAGGGAAAAUUAUACAGAAGAAAUUAUAAUGUUCUAAGGACAAAAAGAAUUUCUACAAUUAAGGGGUUGAAGGUUAAGGGAGAACUAGCAAUGUAAACAGAAAGAAAGCAACCUUUACAACCAUUGUAGAAAGAGGAAGAGAAUCAAAGAAGAGGACAUUUGCAUUAGAAAACAUGUUUGAAUGAACGGCUGUUAGAUUUUAGCUUACACAUUUAAAACAUGUGUAAGAUUGAGUUUAUUAGCAUUUCUCUUCUCUAUGAUGGUUUUCAUGCAUGUAAGACUCCUGUAUGAUCCCAAUUCUAAAUGGGUGAUUAUAUCAUAAAGAACAAAUAAUGCUUCUUGGUUUACCAAAAAAAAUCUACUCUUGCAGUAUAAUGUAACUGUUAUAUUUUGAGUUAUAGCAAAUUUUUGCAUUUUGAGUUACAAUGAAAAAUGCAUCACACAUGUGCAGCUGUGCAUGUUUUAUGAUGCUUAUUACACCUGUGUGUGAAUAUAUAAUACAUUUAAACAAUUUAAAUAUUUUUAUGAGGUAAUACUUAUUACUUCUUGUAAUGUAUUCCAUUUUUAUACUUCCUUGUUUGAUUUUUUAAAUGCUGAUUAUGAUACAGUAAAUCUGUUUCAUGAUCCCCCCAUACUGUGUUAUAACACUCAGUUUGAAAAAUGGUACCUUAAACUAGGUUACUUCUCAAAAAUAAUUUUAGACUAACUAUUAAAAAUUGGGGUGCUGAUUUAAUGCCUUCUGUUCGCCUAUUGGCAGGGCUAAUGAGGUCUGUCUCUUAACGUCACCCAGAGUGGGUACAAAUUGCUAGAACUGCAGACUGACUUUUUGCCCGGUCAGGAAGUAAUGGGUAAUAUGAAGACAUGAUUGACAGAAACAGAAUUUGGCACUUGCUCUAAAUAGUAUCAUUUCUCUCCUUAUUUAGUUACGUUCUCCACAGCACAUUGUCUUAUAGACUGAUCCCCAGGUGCUAGGACACAUGAAAAACUAAGUAAUACAGGCGUGAGUUAAGCUUACUAAACUUCCACCAUUUUACAUCUUACAGAUUAUUUAAGUGAGGUAAAAAGUCAGUUUUAAGUUACAUACAUUAUUGACUGAAACUUUAAAUGCCUCAAACAAAUUGUUUUAUUGUCUAUGUCUCAUCAUACCAAAAGCAGUCAAACAAACAAAGCAGAAGGAAAAUACCAAUUCUGUUAUGUGGUAGUUACAUUUUAAACCUUUUAUUUUUUAGGUGUUUGCUAUUUAAUCUUUCUAGGCUUCCAUGUGCUUGCUUGUAAAAUGAGCAAAUUGAUUCCCAGCCCUCUAGAAUUCCAGUUGUUAGGAGUCAGAAGCUAUUUUCAGUAUUCAGAUAAGCAGAUUGAGGACCAUAAAUUGAAUCUGCAAGAUGGUAACAAUAAAAAGGCAGGUCAACAAACAAAAGAAAUGAGCAACUAUUUCCAAGAUGAUAAUAUGUAAUCUAUUAACAGGUGAUUUCUUACUGUUAUGUUUUUUUUUUUUUUUUGUAGUUCUGUAUUACAUGUACCCUUACACCGCUUUGUUUUGUUUUGUGUUUUUCUCUUUUUCCUCUUAAAUAAAAUUUAAAAAAAAACAAACAAUAGAAAUAUUUUCAGACACUGUUCUCUAAAGAAUUCUUUAAUUAUGUAACAAUAUAGUUAAGAGCUUUGUUGUUCUGCAGAUAGUUUGUAAUUCUGAAGUAACUUUGUAAGCAAUAGAUAAGUUUGGCUGGGAAAAUGAUCUAAAUAAGAAUUUAGCUUUUUGAGAAACACAUAGGUACUUUGAAAAUUCUUGAGUCGUUGGAAAUUUUUGUCAGGUAUAUUUAUGAAGUUUGUGACACUGAAGUAUGUUAUUAAAAUAAUAAUCUGAAAAUAAAAUAAAAUAAUAAUCUGUUUUCUUAUUCACAGUCACUCGAUUUACCAGCAUUAGAAAUUGAAAUUUAUUAUAAAAAUAGGCUAUUUUCAUAAAAUUAGAAAUUUUUAUUUUAUAAAUAUAUUUGCAAAUCUUCAUUCAUAGAUCAAAGUACAUUUUUACAUAUAUACAUACAUAGACACACAUACAUAGCUCUUUCCCAGAUGUGUGUAGUUGCAAAUAUAUGAACAUUUUGGUAAUCUGGCUUUAGAAAAUUGAGGAUUCUUAUAAAGUAGAUUUGAACACCUGGUCAAAGCAGUGUUUCAUGUCCUUUUAAGACUUUACAAACUUAAAACUGUAGUAGUACUAAAUAUGAUUCUUUCAAACUCAAGAUUUAUUUUUUUUUUUGUACUGAGGAUCAAACUCAUGACCUCACUCUUGCCAUGUAGGCACAUGUGCCACUGAGCUAUAUCUGCAGCCUAAGAAUUUUUAUAUGCUCCCCUAGAUCAUUAUUUCCUUAAGGAAAGGAAUCACUAAUUUAAACAAAGUAGAGAAAAUAUACCUGAAAUUCUAAUUUCUUCUCCAUUUUUAUAUGAGAAUGUGGAUUACUGGAGAGAACUUUUUACUCAUUUAUUCAACAAAUAUGAAUUGAGUCUACUACCUGGAGUUGAGUUUCUCAGCCUAUGAUAAGUUUACUUUUUAGUAACUUAUUAUAAAUUGAUAUCAUAAAUUUAAAAUGGACUUAUUUAGUACACUUAACUGACCAAAUACCAUGGCUUAGCCUAGCCUUCCUUAAAUGUCCUCAGGAAGGACGUCUACAAUUCUUCAUGUUGUGCAAAGUCAUGUAACACAAAACUGAUAUUACAAUAAAGUAUUGAAUCUGGAGAGAACAA